AGCUCGUGUCGUGAGAUGUUGGGUUAAGUCCGUAACCGAGCGCAACCCUUGUCCUUAGUUACCAGCACGUUAUGGUGGGCGACUCUAAGGAGACUGCCGGUGACAAACCGGAGGAAGGUGGGGAGUGACGUCAAGUCAUCAUGGCCCUUACGGCCUGGGCUACACACGUGCUACAAUGGUCGGUACAAAGGGUUGCCAAGCCGCGAGGUGGAGCUAAUCCCAUAAAACCGAUCGUAGUCCGGAUCGCAGUCUGCAACUCGACUGCGUGAAGUCGGAAUCGCUAGUAAUCGUGAAUCAGAAUGUCACGGUGAAUACGUUCCCGGGCCUU
rnacentral:rRNA from 1 species